rnacentral:rRNA from 1 species
AUGACNUGUACCUGAAGAAUAAGCAUCGGCUAACUCCGUGCCAGCAGCCGCGGUAAGACGGAGGAUGCAAGUGUUAUCCGGAAUCACUGGGCGUAAAGCGUCUGUAGGUGGUUUAAUAAGUCAACUGUUAAAUCUUGAGGCUUAACCUCAAAAUCGCAGUCGAAACUAUUAGACUAGAGUAUAGUAGGGGUAAAGGGAAUUUCCAGUGGAGCGGUGAAAUGCGUANAUNUUGNAAAGAACACCGAUGGCGAAGGCACUUUACUGGGCUAUUACUGACACUCANAGACNAAAGCUAGGGUAGCAAAUGGGAUUAGAUACCCCAGUAGUCCUAGCUGUAAACCAUGGAUACUAGAUGUUGAACAGAUCGACCUGCGCAGUAUCAAAGCUAACGCGUUAAGUAUCCCGCCUGGGAAGUAUGCUCGCAAGGGUGAAACUCAAANGAAUUGACG